rnacentral:ribozyme from 1 species
UGCCCAGCAACUCCUAUCCCUACCUCUUCGUGGUACUGGCCGUUGUACAAACAACCUUAUGGAAGAUCGGGUAACCAAGGGGAGGG